rnacentral:rRNA from 1 species
ACAAUGAAGAGUUUGAUCCUGGCUCAGGAUGAACGCUAGCUACAGGCUUAACACAUGCAAGUCGAGGGGCAUCAGGAAGAAAGCUUGCUUUCUUUGCUGGCGACCGGCGCACGGGUGAGUAACACGUAUCCAACCUGCCCUUUACUCGGGGAUAGCCUUUCGAAAGAAAGAUUAAUACCCGAUAGCAUAAUGAUUCCGCAUGGUUUCAUUAUUAAAGGAUUCCGGUAAAGGAUGGGGAUGCGUUCCAUUAGGUUGUUGGUGAGGUCACGGCUCACCAAGCCUUCGAUGGAUAGGGGUUCUGAGAGGAAGGUCCCCCACAUUGGAACUGAGACACGGUCCAAACUCCUACGGGAGGCA